rfam:Ailuropoda melanoleuca scaffold666_42, whole genome shotgun sequence.
ACCUGGCUGGCUCAGUCGGUGGAGUGUGCAACUCUUGAUCUUGGGGUUGUGGGUUCAAGCCCCAUGCUGGGUG